rnacentral:rRNA from 1 species
UUACAUUUGAGUGAGUGGCGAACUGGUGAGUAACACGUGGGAAACCUGCCCAGAAGCGGGGGAUAACACCUGGAAACAGAUGCUAAUACCGCAUAACAACUUGGACCGCAUGGUCCGAGUUUGAAAGAUGGCUUCGGCUAUCACUUUUGGAUGGUCCCGCGGCGUAUUAGCUAGAUGGUGGUAACGGCUCACCAUGGCAAUGAUACGUAGCCGACCUGAGAGGGUAAUCGGCCACAUUGGGACUGAGACACGGCCCAAACUCCUACGGGAGGCAGCAGUAGGGAAUCUUCCACAAUGGACGAAAGUCUGAUGGAGCAACGCCGCGUGAGUGAANAAGGGUUUCGGCUCGAAAACUCUGUUG